rnacentral:rRNA from 1 species
GAAGGUGGCCUGUGAGGGUUGCUGGAGGUAUCAGAAGUGCGAAUGCUGACAUAAGUAACGAUAAAGCGGGUGAAAAGCCCGCUCGCCGGAAGACCAAGGGUUCCUGUCCAACGUUAAUCGGGGCAGGGUGAGUCGACCCCUAAGGCGAGGCCGAAAGGCGUAGUCGAUGGGAAACGGGUUAAUAUUCCCGUACUUGGUGUUACUGCGAAGGGGGGACGGAGAAGGCUAUGUUGGCCGGGCGACGGUUGUCCCGGUUUAAGCGUGUAGGCUGGUUUUCCAGGCAAAUCCGGAAAAUCAAGGCUGAGGCGUGAUGACGAGGCACUACGGUGCUGAAGCAACAAAUGCCCUGCUUCCAGGAAAAGCCUCUAAGCAUCAGGUAACAUCAAAUCGUACCCCAAACCGACACAGGUGGUCAGGUAGAGAAUACCAAGGCGCUUGAGAGAACUCGGGUGAAGGAACUAGGCAAAAUGGUGCCGUAACUUCGGGAGAAGGCACGCUGACACGUAGGUGAAGUGAUUUACUCACGGAGCUGAAGUCAGUCGAAGAUACCAGCUGGCUGCAACUGUUUAUUAAAAACACAGCACUGUGCAAACACGAAAGUGGACGUAUACGGUGUGACGCCUGCCCGGUGCCGGAAGGUUAAUUGAUGGGGUCAGCGCAAGCGAAGCUCCUGAUCGAAGCCCCGGUAAACGGCGGCCGUAACUAUAACGGUCCUAAGGUAGCGAAAUUCCUUGUCGGGUAAGUUCCGACCUGCACGAAUGGCGUAAUGAUGGCCAGGCUGUCUCCACCCGAGACUCAGUGAAAUUGAACUCGCUGUGAAGAUGCAGUGUACCCGCGGCAAGACGGAAAGACCCCGUGAACCUUUACUAUAGCUUGACACUGAACAUUGAGCCUUGAUGUGUAGGAUAGGUGGGAGGCUUUGAAGUGUGGACGCCAGUCUGCAUGGAGCCGACCUUGAAAUACCACCCUUUAAUGUUUGAUGUUCUAACGUGGACCCGUUACCCGGGUUGCGGACAGUGUCUGGUGGGUAGUUUGACUGGGGCGGUCUCCUCCUAAAGAGUAACGGAGGAGCACGAAGGUUGGCUAAUCCUGGUCGGACAUCAGGAGGUUAGUGCAAUGGCAUAAGCCAGCUUGACUGCGAGCGUGACGGCGCGAGCAGGUGCGAAAGCAGGUCAUAGUGAUCCGGUGGUUCUGAAUGGAAGGGCCAUCGCUCAACGGAUAAAAGGUACUCCGGGGAUAACAGGCUGAUACCGCCCAAGAGUUCAUAUCGACGGCGGUGUUUGGCACCUCGAUGUCGGCUCAUCACAUCCUGGGGCUGAAGUAGGUCCCAAGGGUAUGGCUGUUCGCCAUUUAAAGUGGUACGCGAGCUGGGUUUAGAACGUCGUGAGACAGUUCGGUCCCUAUCUGCCGUGGGCGCUGGAGAACUGAGGGGGGCUGCUCCUAGUACGAGAGGACCGGAGUGGACGCAUCACUGGUGUUCGGGUUGUCAUGCCAAUGGCACUGCCCGGUAGCUAAAUGCGGAAGAGAUAAGUGCUGAAAGCAUCUAAGCACGAAACUUGCCCCGAGAUGAGUUCUCCCUGAGACUUAGAGUCUCCUGAAGGAACGUUGAAGACGACGACGUUGAUAGGCCGGGUGUGUAAGCGCAGCGAUGCGUUGAGCUAACCGGUACUAAUGAACCGUGAGGCUUAACCUUACAACGCCGAAG